rnacentral:rRNA from 1 species
AGCUCCAAUAGCGUAUAUUUAAGUUGUUGCGGUUAAAAAGCUCGUAGUCGUAUUUCGGGCGUGCCCACUGGUCCGUUCUUCGAGAAUGUGUAUCGGUAAGGUACGUCUUGUUGCACGAAGCGUGCUUCUGGGCUUCACUGUCCGGAACGUGGGUCGUGCGUUGUCACUUUGAGUAAAUUAGAGUGUUUAAAGCAGGCGUGCGCUCUGUAUAUUCCAGCAUGGGAUGACACGAUAGGACCUCGGUCCGUGCGUCGGUCUGCGGGUGCGUCGGUCUGCGGGUCCGAGGUAAUGAUCGAUAGAAACGAUCGGGGGCGUUCCUAUUUCGUUGUCAGAGGUGAAAUUCUUGGAUUUACGAAAGAGGAUCAAAUGCGAAAGCAUUCGCCAAGGGCGUUUUCG